CAAACUUGCUCGCAGGGGCUGGAGAGAUGGCUCAGCAGUUAAGAGCACUGGAUGCUCCUCCAGAGGUCCUGAUUCAAUUCUCAGCCACCACAUGGACAUCCGGCUAUGAGGAGGUGCCAUCCAAUCCAAAGGCAACCCGGUGAGGAGCGACACCCAAGAAGCACGGGAGCGCAUAAUUGGUGCAAAAGAACAAGACAAAGCUGGCAGAUGAGAAUGUUCAAGGAAAUCCAUCUUUUGGCAUACUGCUCCAAAACACUAGGUUGCCUUUACAUCUCGCUGGCAAAUUCAUCUACCAUAUUUGCCUUUUGCUGGCACUGCUGCUGCUGUGGUCACUGCCAUCCUUCACUGACAUCAAAAUCUAGCUUCUUUGACCUUCCAACAUGGACUAAAUACAAGUGACUCUCCAGGAAUCCCCCAGGCCUUCAGGUCCAGAUCAGGUGUGCUGAGAAUCCAGCCAUGUGGGCAUCUAGCCAUGUGGA